rnacentral:rRNA from 1 species
AACGAACGCUGGCGGCAUGCCUAACACAUGCAAGUCGAACGAGACCUUCGGGUCUAGUGGCGCACGGGUGCGUAACGCGUGGGAACCUGCCCUUAGGUUCGGAAUAACUCCCCGAAAGGGGUGCUAAUACCGGAUAAUGUCUUCGGACCAAAGAUUUAUCGCCUUUGGAUGGGCCCGCGUUGGAUUAGCUAGUUGGUAGGGUAAAAGCCUACCAAGGCGACGAUCCAUAGCUGGUCUGAGAGGAUGAUCAGCCACACUGGGACUGAGACACGGCCCAGACUCCUACGGGGGGCAGCAGGGGGGAAGUUGGGACAAGGGGCGAAAGCCUGAUCCAGCAAUGCCGGGUGAGUGAUGAAGGCCUUGGGGUUGUAAAGCUCUUUUACCCGGGAUGAUAAUGACAGGACCGGGAGAAUAAGCCCCGGCUAACUCCGG